CUGAAUGAUGCUCCAUCAUCAGGCAGACCAGUUGAAGUUGACAACAAUGAAAUUAAGACAUUAAGUGAGAACAAUCAAUGUUCUACCACACAGGAGGUAGCCAACAUAUUCAAAAUAUCCAAGUCAAUAAAGUUUUGGUGAAAAAGAAAAACGUGUCUUUCAUUUU